CACAGGUGACUAGUCUCAGGUCUCGCCUCUCUUCCUGCUCUCAUGUGUAAUUGGCUACUGGUUUUGAAGCUGAGGCCAUUGACCAAAGGUCAAGGGAGAAGGUCCAUAGCAAGGAAGCCAGCCAACCACAGACUGGAAACCUCUGAAUGGGUGUCCACAACAAAUCACCCUCCUUCUACAUUGCUUCUUCUCAGCAUCUGUCUCAACAAGGAAACCAUGCUAGCCUAGCCACCGAUCUCUCUUGGUUCUAAGCACCACUGGGUCACCAAGGUCAGAGAUCUAACUUUUGGCAAAGAAGUGGAUCAGCAGGUAAGGUCACCUGCCACCCAGUCUGAAGACAUGAGUUGUUUAAUUCUGUUAACAUGGUGAAAGGAGAGAACCCAUUCCCAUAAGAUGACCUUUGGUAUUCAUGCAUACACCAUGGCACAUAGGCACAUACUCACAGACACAUAAAAAUACAUAAAUGUAACAAAAGUAAAGAGAAACAAAGAAAGAAAGAAAUAAAUGAAGGAAUAAAUCUGAAUUUCCUUCUUGUGGCAGACUGGACAGUUUCCUACUUCUCCCAAGACACUGCCUCCAAACACCUGGGACCCAUAAAUGCAUCCUAUGUGGUAUUAGGAAAUUACUUAUGGACUAACAUUUAGGAUCUUGAGAUGAGGAUGUUCUGGGUGAGCCCAGAAGCUACAAGGCUACAAGAGGGAGGCAGAAGGUCAGAGUGGCCUCUGGGAAGUGUGGAAAGAGAAGCCAGAAGUUAGAGAGUUCUUGCCCCAAGUCAAGAACUUGUGAUGGCCACCCAAAGCUGGAAGAACAAAGCUCCUUUCUGGAACAUCCUGAAGAAGCCACUCCUGAGAGCAACUGCCUCUUAGCCUUUUGGGUUGGUGAGCCCCUGCCGAACUAUAAUCGGACAUGUGUGCCUGUUUUAAGCUACUAUGCUGUGUCAGUGUUAUACAGGAAAUAAAUACAGCCUUGAUGCUGCUCUGUGGA